UAAAAUGCCGAGACGCCACUCUGCUUUAAUUAGUGCGAUGGUAUUUGGAGAGACCUGGUCCUGAGACGUGACGGGAGACCAGGUGGACUUACAGCUGGAUUUAUAUCCUGAAUGGCUGCAGACAGUAGGAGUGAUGGAUUGUGGGUAGAAAGCUGCACUCAGCUGCUGACUGCAGCCUUUAAAUCACACACACAGGAGGUGAUGUGCAUUUGUUGGGGACUAUUUUCAGCGGCGGAUUAAUCCACACUUGGAGCUGUAGAUUACCACGGACACGGUGGAGCGCAGAGCCUCCGGGGCAACAGAGGCUGAAUGCUAAUGCCCUCCUCCAUCAGGGGCUGUUUAUUCACAGGCCUCAGAACGAGCCGCAUGGCGCCGGCGUUCAGGGUCGAGGACGAGACGACGAGACGCACCGGAAUAUAUUUACAGCAGCUCUUUGUAAUAACCACAGAGGAUUCACACAGACUAGUCUCAUAUUCAUCAGCACACAGCUUCAUGAGAUGCUUUACAGCCCUGAACGCCUCGUGCUGCCUUCCAGCGUCCAGGCGUGUCAUUGGUUAAGAGUUUCCUCCUGCAGCCAGACGCAGGCUGGAUGUGGGUCAGCUGUUUGAGCAGCUGGACUCAGCGAUGAGGAAUCUGCUGACUUCUGUAACAGACACUUUACAUGUUCAGUUGUUUGGCGUCGUGAUGAACGCCCCCCCCAUGUGUCUCUGUUUCUGCUUCGAGUUUAAUAAAAAUAUAUGUGAAGAUGAAAAAAAGCCUUUGUUGUGCCCCCCCCCGCUCAUUUCCUGUCUUCUCCCCACAGUCAAAUUAAAUGCCUCUAAAACUCUGACCCUCUGACGUGAGAUCAGCUGAUGGUUUCUUCAGAAAUGUUUCACUUCCCUCCUGUUCAACAGAGACUGUGUCUCAUCAGAUGCUGCAUUCAAAGACCGACGGAGUCUCUGCGACUGUCCUGCUCCAAACGCUCCUUCUUUUCCAACAGGCGGGUCUUCGUUGCACAGCGGUAACGAGGAUCUCACUUUUAAUGUCGGAGUUGAGAGGACGAGGUCCACGAAGACGACGUCCGUCACAGACCGAGAAGGCCCACCGCAAAUGAGGAGGAUUUUCGC